ensembl:misc_RNA Metazoa_SRP Metazoan signal recognition particle RNA
GCCAGAUGUGGUAGUAAUGCCUGCCUGUAGUCCCAGGUACUCAGGAGGCUGAGGCAGGAGGAUCGCUUGAGUCCAGGAGUUCUGGGCUGUGGUAUGUUAUGCCAAUAGAGUGAUGCUAUGCCAUCAGUAUGGGGACCUCCCGGGAGUGAGGGACCACCAGAUUGCCUAGGAAAGGGUGAACUGGCCCAGGUCAGAAAGGGAGCAGUUCAAAAAUCCUGUGCUGAUCAAUGGUGAGAUCAUGCCUGUGAACAGCCAUUGAACUCCAAACUGGGUAACAUAGUGAGACCCCAUCUCU